AUUGAACGCUGGCGGCAGGCUUAACACAUGCAAGUCGAGCGGAGAUGAGGCGCUUGCACCUUAUCUUAGCGGCGGACGGGUGAGCAAUGCUUAGGAAUCUGCCCAUUAGUGCGGGCCACCAUUCCGAACGGAAUGCUAAUACUGCAUACGCCCUACGGGGGAAAGCAGGGGAUCUCCGGAUCUUGUGCUAAUAGAUGAGCCUAAGUCGGAUAAGCUAGUUGGUGGGGUAAAGGCCUACCAAGGCGACGAUCUGCAGCGGGUCGGAGAGGCUGAUCCGCGACACUGGGACUGAGACACGGCCCAGACUCCUACGGGAGGCAGCAGUGGGGAAUAUUGGACAAUGGGCGGAAGCCUGAUCCAGCCAUGCCGCGUGUGUGAAGAAGGCCUUUUGGUUGUAAAGCACUUUAAGCGAGGAGGAGGCUACCUGGAUUAAUACUCUAGGAUAGUGGACGUUACUCGCAGAAUAAGCACCGGCUAACUCUGUGCCAGCCGCCGCGGUAACAC
rnacentral:rRNA from 1 species